rnacentral:lncRNA from 1 species
AUAACAGCAAGCAAGUCUUGUUGGACGGGGAGCUCGAAAAUACACACAUACACACAGACUACACGUAAAAUAACAUCCAUCCCUAAAACCAAGCCCAUUUUCACUUUUGCCACGCAGCGGCGCACACGUUCUCUCCGGAGUGGAAGAAAAAGUAUAACAAAAAUUAUAAAUUUAACUGUGCACAAACAAUAAUACAUAAUAAAAUAAAUAAAAGUAUUAUUAAUACAAAAGUAUACUAAAUAAAUAGUAACAAAUAAAUAAGUAACAAAUAAAACAAUAAAAUACAAGUUUUCUUCUUCUUCGUUGCUGAACGAGCUGCCGAAGCUGCUGCUUUCUUACGCCAGAUGGGGUGUAGUGCGCUGGCGACAUCUAUUGCUUGUUCUGCUCCGUGUGAACAUCUUCAUGUGCAGUUUUAGAGUCAUUGCAUCUCCUUAACUCUGUUAUUUAGCAGACGGACUACUGUUAAAAAUACAACUUUAACGAUUCACUCGAAUGUAUUCAAAUAUCUACAAAAAUGUGAAAAUGUCAAUUCGAUUAUUAUCCAUAAUUUUGUGUUAUUUUUACAGCUUCAGAAAUUGUGGCCUAGAGGCCACACUUGUUUAAGUGUGUAGUCACAGGACCUUGUAUGGUCUUUACAGUCUCUGAGAUUAAUAGUCACGGGUACCUAUAAGCAUUUCUUUCAUGAGUACUUACAGUUUCUUGAUACCAAAGUGGCCAUAUGGUUAAAUUUAAUUUCUAAUACUAUUAUAAUACCUACAAAUACACAGACAUUUUCCAUAAAAACGCUUCCAAAUAUAUUAACUUUGUUUAACAAACACACACAUGCAUUUUCCCACUGCCACGUUCAUCAUUUGACCACAUUGAUUGGCGACCAUCCAGCAACUUGCGAGGGGUCAACUGAGCAUAUUGCCAAUCAGAGACUUCGAUUCAAUUUCCUCGACUUGCCAGAGAGACGAUAAUGGGAAUGGAGCAUAAAAGCCAAGUGCGGGUGUUGCAACGCAAACGAUUCAUUCAAAAUCGGAGCAAUCAAGGCAUCACAUCAGGAUCAGGCCAAGACAACAAAAUUACUUUGAGCAUCGUUAGGACCACAACUCUGACUCCGACUUGCAGUCUCCUUCGUAUUGUCUGGGGGAAAUGCCCGAUCAGAAAGGGCAAGACUGCCCCCGUCACAGGGCUGAUGAAGGGGAAAAACAUGAAAAUCAUCUUUCGUGGCAGGCAGCAUCGAAACACCAAGACACCAAUCGCAAUCAGGUGAGGUGGAAGGUGGGAGGUGGAUGACGCGGCGUCCAGGCUGCAUAUGUGAGGCUGUCCGGUCCAGGCCCGGCCAAGUCUUUCACGUGCGGAGAGACAACCCAAAGAAGAAGACUCUCGACUGCUUUUUAUUUUGCUGCCGGCGCUGUCCACAAAUGCAAUACACGCAACGCUGCCAUGGCGGAGCAUCCAGUUCGACAUCAACUGGUUUUCUGCAUCCAGCCCCCUCCAACCCACCACGCAGCACUCACGAACCUUUUCAAUGUGAAAAUCAUAUAAAGAUUUUGAAACCAUUUUGAGUUGCAACUAUUUAGGACAGUAAAACAUUUAAUGCCAUUUAUCUUAUUAAUAUGAACACUAAGGAGAGUCAAAAUUGAGUAUCUACUGUAUUAAUAUUUGAGUUCGUAACACCUACUAUAAAUGUAUAUAUUAUUUGUUGGACAAUGGAAACUUUUCUCACACAAGGCACCUCCUUAAGCGCCUCGUCUAAGCUGUUGCAAGAGCAAUGCAAACACACAGUUUGCUCGCUCAGUUUUAGCUCCGUUCUGAUUCCGUCUCUGUCUCUGUAGCUGUCCUUAUUUUCCUGUCCGUCUGUUGAUGUUCCUGUCUCCGGCUCAUUGUUCGUCUCGGUUCAGUUUGGUUUGGUUCCGUAAAUUACACUUUUGAUUUUUAGUGGCCGUAAAAUAAUCGUAAAUGUCGUGGUUAUUGCGACCGAAAGUGCCCAUUUUGAGUGCUGCUGCUGCUGCUUUCUGUUGCUCCUCCGUAUCACCCCUCUAUAACUGAUAUUUCAGCCAACUCGGUGCAGUGUGCGGACAUGGGACGGCCACCAAGUUGGUUGGGAACGUGCUGCCACUGCACAAGCAGCACGAAUCCCUCCACUCCCCUGCCCACUCUAUCCCCGCGGGGGGCACGUUGCACUUGUUGUUUUUAAUAAGUUUGUGGCGGUUGUUGUUCCUGGCUUUCUUCUGCCUGGCUGAUGCUCCCUUGAUGUUUCGAUUAAGUUCGGAGUUCGCUUCGUCGAACUGGUUGGAUGGGUCUGAGUCUGAGUCUGAGUCUGGCCUGUCCCUGCCACAGCCACUGCUUCUUCCUCCCUCUCUGAGGGAGCAGUUUGGCUUAAGUUUAUGGCCAUUUCGUUCGUUUCACUGUCUUGCGGUUUCGAUGUUGCUUGUGGGGCUUGGCCGUUCCUCUGCCUGUGGAGCUGCCGUCGAGCUGAUUUUCUUGAGCAUUUCACCCAUUUACCUUUAUAUAUUUCGGCUUGUUCAAGACAUUUUCUCACAUCGCAGCUCACGGGGCUCCUCUGCCACACGGCUCUUCGUCUCUGACGCAACUGGUUGCCCAUUGGCCCGCCAGCUCUCUUCUCUACCACGCUCCAUGCACUCUACACUCAAAAAUUUCGAAUUUGAUUUUAUUGUUAUGAUUUCAAUUGUUUUCCCAAUGUAAACACUGGAGAGUGCCAGCACAGAGAGGGCCAACAUGUCGGGUUUUCGGUUAAAUAAUGCUCGAUUUUUAUGAUAGUUUCAAGUUCUACGCGAAUCGUUAGUCAGAGUCUACUUAGGUUGAACGAGGACGAGGCCCGCAAGCUCCUUUGAGGCAGAUUUUCAAACGCUCCAAAUCGACUUUAGCUGGGAGAAACUUUCAUCUUGCAAAUGAGCGAAGAAAGCACAAAUUUCUACCAUUUACCUACCAUGCAAAUUAUUAAAUUAUUCUCAUCUAAUGAUGCAUUUGUCCUACGACUGCCCAGAGGACGGCCUGAUUUAUAGAUUCUAAGUACUGCUUAUCCACCUUAUUAGCAUUCUCAGAUCAUUUCUAUACAAGUCACAUUAGAACGCCCAAUUUCACGAGAACAAUUAUGGGCUGGGCCGCCGGAGGUGAUCAUAAUACCAAUAUGCUCCGGCUAGGCCCUGGCAGGACCCGAAGGUCGAAAGAAAGAAUGAACGAGACGGGACGAUCGGCGUUGAGGGGUCCGGUGCGGACUGGAAACCAAAUCAAUUCAUAAAUCAUAAAAAUGUGUCAUAAAAAAUAUUUGUGUCGCCUUCAAUAAUAACAGCCAUAAAUGGAAAUGGCAGUGGAAACGGAAAAACAACAGCCACAGCCAGGCAGGAGUAUGAAGCUGCCUUUCAACAUGUCCUCGAGAAAGUAAAAAACGCUCAAGGCAAAAGGAGAAGGGAGAAGACUUGUUGGGUGACCUUAGGAGAUUUGUUUUGACUUCUAUCCGAGGCCUGUUAUCGCAUCUCGCCAGAGCCACAACGAUCCCAAAAGAGGACACACAGGACACGGCACAAAUACGUUGGUAUUGUCUGCCUUUGCCAGUUCGAUUAUUGCCGCCUCGGUAAUAAAUCAUAAAAAUAUGUUUAGUCGCAGAGAUGUGAGUAGGGAAUGCUGCCUCGUUACACGGUGGAAUUGGAAUUGUAAAUCCCCUGUAAAAUUGCUCUCGCCCUGCUCUGUAUGCUCAACUCUGCGGUGGUGGCAUCUCUCCAGCAUGGUAUCCCUCUGUAGGUACGACGAUCGCGCCCUCGAGCAUCUGAUAACAAAACCACCAGCAUGGCCAAUGCCCAUGGAAACAAAGGCCAGCAACUUUCUCUUUGGCAUCAUCUGAUUUGGGCCGCAUUCAUCCUCGAGCGUUGCCUUGCCAAAUAUGAGCAUUUUGAUUUAUUUUCGAAAUAUUCUCUCCUCUGAAGAUUUAUUGAUGUGCUGUUGUCAGUAAGAGGCGCCUGGAAUUGUGUUCCUGUGUUCUCCUGUAUCUGCAUUGAAAUUGCGAACUGGAAAGUAGGGGCUGAGCAUUAACACCAUAUUUGUAGCUUAAUAACUUGGCUGAUAAGGCCCCCAAUUAUACAUAAUAUCAUCCAUUAUAAUUUUAAUAAACUCUUGCCUUUGUUUCUUUCUAAUCCGCAGCACAUUAACACUUCCCAUUGGACAGAGAUGGCUUCAUUUUCAGGCCAUGCACGCCAUAUGCAACUUGAGUCGUCUUGCCACAGAUGUCAGUGCUGUACUUGCAGUUGCACCCGCUCAUUCUCAGGGCUGGCUCCACAUGAUUUACUACAAGCAGAUGAUUUAAUGUAACCGCACAUACAUACGUACACGAUACACGAACAUGGGGCAGGCCACUUCAGAUCCAGCCCAGCCCAGACACCCCACAUGUGUUGCAACCGAAGCGUUGCAGCAGUUGAAAGAAGAACCCCGAGACGGCAGUGACGGUGUCCUCCAUCUUGAAAACUGAUGCUUCGAUGAAGCGGCAGAGGAUUCCAUUUAGCAGCGAGAGGUUGAUGAAACAGCAAAUAAACAAAAUCUAAGUAGAAUCUUACAUGUACGCCAACCCUUUCCCGGAAGAGUGCGUUAAUCAGGGUGUCAACGAGCUGCGACCUUGCCGAGAGAGUCCAUUCAGAUGCUGGCCAAAAUACAACAUCAAAACAAAUCGUUAAAAUGCAAUAAAACUCUCAGAGAUGGAGGAGUCCGCAUCCAUAUGCAAUCACUAAACAAGAGCCAAGGCAAAUGCAUUCGAAUAAAAUUUUACCACCAUUUCCUCGAGCAUCAUCAGCAGCAGGAGCAUCAUCAAACUAACGGCGGCAACAUCCGAGGCACCUCAUAAAAGUAAUGACGUCUAUGGCCCAUCAGCAUCUGAUAGAAGCUGAUAGAUACAUUUGUAUCUGCGCACGGAGGCGAGCGGAGGGAUAUCACAAUAAUUAUGGCAUACGUCACGGAACUUGGGUUUUUAUAUCUUUUAUAUUGAUUGUCAUCGUGUCACACUAACAGAUCGUAAAAAAGUCGUAAAAUCCGAAGACUCUCGCUCUGACUCUGCUCCUGUCCGGGCCAAUGGAUGGGCGAGUGAGUGCAUUACCAGAGUGAGCGAUGAAGUCCUCAUCCCUUGGGCUCACAAAACACUCAGGAUCGGGCAGGACCUCAAGCCGACUCCAACUCACACAGGGACAAGCGGAUGAUGAUGAGCUGGAUCGUUACCGUUCUGAGCUCUCAGUUCUGAGUGAUUUUCAGUCUCUGCCGCUCGAGGGGAAGUGGCGUCAAGUCGUAAAAAGGCCAUAAAAUGCUUGGCCUCUGUGUUGGUACUAACCGCAAUUUGUUUAUAUUGUUGUUAAAAUGCCGUUCCAUCUUGUUCUGCUUAGCAUUUAAUUGUCGACUGCCAGCUUUUCUUUUUACGAGCCAAUAAAAUCUAUUUAAC